GAUCAUGGCUCAGGACGAACGCUGGCGGCGCGCCUAACACAUGCAAGUCGAACGAGCGAGAGAGAGCUUGCUUUCUCGAGCGAGUGGCGGACGGGUGAGUAACGCGUGGGUAACCUGCCUCAUACAGGGGGAUAACAGUUAGAAAUGGCUGCUAAUACCGCAUAAGCGCACGGUACUGCAUGGUACAGUGUGAAAAACUCCGGUGGUGUGAGAUGGAUCCGCGU
rnacentral:rRNA from 1 species